UUCUUACUGGGGUGGUAUGAGAUAGGGAUUCUCCUUGUAAGCUGCAUUUUGUGUGGUGAUGACACCUUGGUGGAGGCAGUUGUGUUCCCUACCCACCGAGUCAGCAGCUGCCUGACCUCCUGCUGCAGCAGAUCUCAGCUCAGCUGAACUCCUAACCUACUAAGUAAGGAUUUCUUUUCGUGUUUUAGUAAGAAAGGGCUGGUAUCUUCCAUUUGGGAGAGACAGUUUUCCUUCACUCAAGGUGGAAAGUUGAUGAGCCAAGCAAGAGGUGAUGUAGCUGGAGGACUUGUCAUGGAUAUAGACAAUUGCUCAGUAAUGGCUGUGGACUGCGAAGACAGACAUUAUUGUUUUCAGAUAACAUCUUUUGAUGGUAAAAAUGGAUAUGCACAAUAAGCAACAUAUCUAAACAGAUAUAUCUAAGCGAAAACCCUGAGGCAACUUCACUAAAAUUGAUAGUAUCAGUAAUCUCUUCAGAUAUAGAUGUACUGAAAAUUAAAAAGGGAUUAACUGGACCUAAUUGGGUAGCAUGGGAUUAAGCUGAGUACUUCCUACAUGUCUAAUCUGAAGCUUGUCAUUGUAUGGGUUGAUGGUGCUUCAUGAAUUAAUGAAAGCAUACAUUCCGUUGUUUCAUUCAUCUAGAUGCUUAUGUAGAACGCAUGAAAAUGAUAUGGCUUUUGUUUGGUAUAACAUUUUGACAGCUGCAAGACCUUUUAGUUGUAUUGUGUAUAUGAUACUUUGUUGCAAAUUAACAUGACAAAUAUCUGGACAGAUACAGAUAUUUUCCUUCUCUAAAAUCCUCUUUACCCAGUGAUUUCUUCCACUGGCUUUACCCCAUGAAGUGAAGCCAUCAAUAUUAAAUACUGAUACUUCAGAAUUAGUGAUUUAAUGAAAGAUUAAAGUGGAAUUCUUCAGCUGUACAAGGUCCAUUAUUUGCUGAAAUAACAUUGUUACGUAGUGGUUACUUCAUAGUCAUUCGUGUCUUGGUUUUUCAGAAACCUAUAAACGUUCCCUAAUUUCAAGUGCAGACUUUUGAAUCUCCACGUUUUGUUAGUUAGUAGUUAAAGACAACGUGUCUCAAGUGAGAUUUUUAUUUUUUCUGCAUGGCUACGUUUGCUUAUUUUGUCAGACUUAUCAUUGCAAUUUUACUGCUGGCUUUUACUAACAUAUGUAGUAUUAUAAAGCACAUACAAUAGCAGGAAAUGUUACAAGUUAAAGAAAAUACUACAACUAUAUUACUGAAAGGGGACAGACAGUUUAUAACUUCUGUCAAUUGCAUGUAAAACUAAAAUCUGAAAAUGUGCUUUGAGGGCAAUGUUUUCAGUUAGUUUUUCCCAUCUCUCUAUUGCAGGAAAUUGCUGCACGUGUAAAUCAGUCAGCUUUAGAAGCUGUUACUCCAUCCCAUUCCUUUCAGCAGAGGCACGAGAGCAUGCAUCCAAUUUUGCAAUCUCAUCCUACUGCAGCUCGUACUAGCAGCACAGGGUCACUGGGAUCCGAAUCAGCAACUUUAUCUGCACUUUCCUUGGAUUCACUUGUUGCCCCUGACACUCCUAUGCAAUUUGACAUAAUAUCUCCGGUUAGUGAAGAUCUGCCUGGUCAAGCAAAAUCUUCAGGGCAGGCAGCAGCUUGGGUUAUUUCCUCUUGGAAAUUCAAGAGAAAUUUGGUAGCCCUGCUUCCAGGUGAUGAUGGCAUACGAUGACACUCUUCUGAACCUGAAAGGAGUAAAACCCCAUUGAUGUUUUCAGAAAGCUGCAUUUGAAAUAAAACCAGUGACUUUUUUCAAUGCACAAAUUCUUUUGGUGAAUCUGGAGGCUCAAAAUCUGAAACAGAAGAUUCAAUUCUUCAUCAGUUGUUUAUUGUAAGAUUUCUUGGCUCUAUGGUGGUGAAGUCUGAUGAAAGUCCAGACAUUGCUUAUGAAUGAAUGCGUUAAAUACUAGCAGCUCAAGCUAUCCAUAACAUUUUCCGGAUGACAGAAUCAUAUUUAUUAGUCACGUGUGACUGUUUAAAGUAAGUUUGCUUCUGACUUCUACUGAUGUUUACUUAUAGAGUAAUCUUCAUUCACUUUGAUAAAAUUUACUUUCUGAUUUGUUCUUAAAAACAAUUUUUAGGUUAAUCAAUCCACAGACACAAGUUACAAGACUAUGAGUAAGUAACUUUACAUUUUGAGAUAAAUACCCAGUGACAUAUUUCUCUUACUUUGAAAAUAUUAUGAAAUGUUAGCAAAAAUCACUGACAGCAUGAAAUUUCCACAAAAAUUUCCAUGAAAACUGGGAGACAGAUGCAAACAUCUAAACAUAAACAGAAAAACACUAGAAAAUCAGGCUUAAGGGGAAUGAUCUUAAUAGGAGAAAUAGGUUUUUGAAACAUUUUUUCCAUGAUUUGAUAGGGUAAAAUCUUAAGAAAAUAAGAAUAUUUUAUUUUAAUAAUGUGUUUGUUUUGAAAUAUAUAUGUGGUAGAGAAGUAUCAUUAAGAUUGGAGUUAAGUAAGUUCAGAAGUCCAAUAGGUUUUGGUUGGUGUUUGGUUUUGUAUGUUGUUUUUAAUCCAUAAUUAUGUUUAGUGUUGUAUGUUUUUUUGAUUGUUUAUUUAUUUUUUUUGCAAUAAAUAUACAUGGAAAAAAAGGUGGAAUUCUUCAUAGCAUAUGAAAUGUGGCAAGCUUAAUUCUUCAGUAUUAGCAAUCUUUAUUUUUCGUAUUUCGAAACUCUUCCUCCCCUCUCUGUCCUUUGUUUCUGCACAGUUUCAGGUCUGUCAUUUAACUUCUUUGGGUCUUUUAAAGAUGCUCAACUCGUCAGGAACUCUAAAUUACCAUUUCCAUAAAAAGAAAUCCUAAGCAUAUGAAACCUU